GACGAACGCUGGCGGCGUGCCUAAUACAUGCAAGUAGAACGCUGAAGGAGGAGCUUGCUUCUCUGGAUGAGUUGCGAACGGGUGAGUAACGCGUAGGUAACCUGCCUGGUAGCGGGGGAUAACUAUUGGAAACGAUAGCUAAUACCGCAUAAUAGUGGCUAUUGCAUGAUAUUUACUUGAAAGGUGCAAUUGCAUCACUACCAGAUGGACCUGCGUUGUAUUAGCUAGUUGGUGGGGUAACGGCUCACCAAGGCAACGAUACAUAGCCGACCUGAGAGGGUGAUCGGCCACACUGGGACUGAGACACGGCCCAGACUCCUACGGGAGGCAGCAGUAGGGAAUCUUCGGCAAUGGACGGAAGUCUGACCGAGCAACGCCGCGUGAGUGAAGAAGGUUUUCGGAUCGUAAAGCUCUGUUGUAAGAGAAGAACGAGUGUGAGAGUGGAAAGCUCACACUGUGACGGUAUCUUACCAGAAAGGGACGGCUAACUACGUG
rnacentral:rRNA from 1 species